UACGUAGGAGACGAGCGUUGUCCGGAAUUACUGGGCGUAAAGCGCGUGUAGGCGGAUGAGCAAGUCUGCUGUGAAAGCUCCUGGCUUAACCGGGAGUGGUCGGUGGAAACUGCUCGUCUGGAGGACGGUAGAGGUAGGUAGAAUUCCCGGUGUAGUGGUGAAAUGCGUAGAUAUCAGGAGGAAUACCGAUGGCGAAGGCAGGUCUCUGGGCUGAUACUGACGCUCAUGCACGAAAGCGUGGGGAGCAAACAGG
rnacentral:rRNA from 1 species